rnacentral:rRNA from 1 species
UACGGAGGGUGCAAGCGUUAAUCGGAAUUACUGGGCGUAAAGAGUCCGUAGGUGGUUAUUCAAGUCGAUUGUUAAAGAGCGGGGCUUAACCCCGUAGAAGCAGUGGAAACUGAAUAACUAGAGAGAGGUAGGGGUAGAGGGAAUUCCCGGUGUAGCGGUGAAAUGCGUAGAGAUCGGGAAGAACACCAGUGGCGAAAGCGCUCUACUGGGCCUCAUCUGACACUGAGGGACGAAAGCUAGGGGAGCGAAAGGG